UGGGGAAUCUUCCGCAAUGGACGAAAGUCUGACGGAGCAACGCCGCGUGAGUGAUGACGGCCUUCGGGUUGUAAAGCUCUGUUAAUCGGGACGAAAGGCCUUCUUGCGAAUAGUUAGAAGGAUUGACGGUACCGGAAUAGAAAGCCACGGCUAACUACGUGCCAGCAGCCGCGGUAAUACGUAGGUGGCAAGCGUUGUCCGGAAUUAUUGGGCGUAAAGCGCGCGCAGGCGGAUUGGUCAGUCUGUCUUAAAAGUUCGGGGCUUAACCCCGUGAUGGGAUGGAAACUGCCAAUCUAGAGUAUCAGAGAGGAAAGUGGAAUUCCUAGUGUAGCGGUGAAAUGCGUAGAUAUUAGGAAGAACACCAGUGGCGAAGGCGACUUUCUGGACGAAAACUGACGCUGAGGCGCGAAAGCCAGGGGAGCGAACGGGAUUAGAUACCCCGGUAGUCCUGGCCGUAAACGAUGGGUACUAGGUGUAGGAGGUAUCGACCCCUUCUGUGCCGGAGUUAACGCAAUAAGUACCCCGCCUGGGGAGUACGANCGCAAGGUUG
rnacentral:rRNA from 1 species